CAGCUGCCUGGGGUGAGUAGCACCGGUAGUGGCGGGCGUGCUCCUACUCUGAUUCGCUUGUCGCUGGGCUCUGCGGACAGCGGUAAAUGGGAGCAAGCCCAGCUUUCGUCCUGAGAGGACUAGGAAGGCCUGCGCUAGGGCUCUGGACUACAUUUCCCUGAGACCCCGAAGGUCGACCCCACGUGCUGCGGGAUUUCAGUUGCUUUUUGGGGAUGCUGUACUUUUCCAAGAGAGGAAUCCAGGGAAACACAACUCAGGUUCUGAGGACUCUCUACUCCUAAACCUGAUGUGAUUUCCCUAUUGGAUCAAGGCAAAGAACCAUGGAUGGUUUCGAGGGACAUUAUGGAAGGAUGGUGCCCAGAAGAAUAAUUGGAAAUAUACUGCCAGCCCAAGACCCUUUUGUUGUCUGGAACUUUGUGAUGAAGUGGAAGCAGAGCAAGAGAGUAUGUAACAGCUCUGAGAAGAAGAUCACAAACUUACUCUCUGGAAAAUUCAAUAGUCCAUUUCGAGGGCAACAACUGAAAGUAGAGGAAUUUUGUAUCUUUUUAUAGGCAGGUGAGUACAGGAUAAAUGCCACCAUGUAAAAGUAUCUUAGCAGUCUGGGCUCCAUAACCUCUUUUUUUGGCCGGGGGAAGGGCAGUGCUAGGGAUUGAACCCCGGGUGCUGUACUAUG